CCCCUCUCAGAGUCACACCUGGAGAGUUUCCAGUACUCUACCACUCUCGGCUACGGGAGGGAGGGUCAGGCAGAGAUAUCCCCAUUCCAUUCCUAGCUUGGCCAGUGGCUAGGAAGUGGAAGGCAAUCUGCUACAAGU